rnacentral:misc_RNA from 2 species
AACGCACCUUGCACUCCUUGGCAUUCCGAGGAGCAUGCCUGUUUGAGUGUCAUUAACAUCUCAAGACCUGUCUGUUUUUGAUAGGUAUUGGAUUUUUGGGGGUUUGCAGGCUGUUUCAGAUAGCUUGCUCUCCUUGAAUGUAUUAGUGGAGAAAGAGCCAUUGAACUCCAUUGGUGUGAUAAAAUCUAUCAAUGCCAGGAGCCAUGUUAGUUCUCUCUGCUGUCUAACCGCUAACAGUUGUCUGUAAAAAAAAUGGACAACUUGACCAACUUGACCUCAAAUCAGGUAGGACUACCCGCUGAACUUAA